AAGUGUUUUGCUGAGUUAGGUAUUUGUAGGGUGAGUGAGUAUUUUAUUAGAGUUGCAGAAUCAGUUUUUUAGGGAGUGGUAGUAGUGUAUGCAUGUGUGUGAGCUUGUAUAAAAGGAUGAGCACGGAUUAAUUUAGAGAUUAACAAGAUUGACCCAGUACGUCAGGGUGAAUCUCACACCAAAAUACCCUAUACGGAUAUAUUCCCUUACGGGAUAUAAAGAUAUAUAACUGGUAAGAACUGAAUUCAUCUAAGUCGUUUUAAUCAAUUUUAUAGUAAUUUAUUGCUCAAAUUAUCGUAUGUGAGAGAAAUUGCAUGUGUGAAUGUUUCAUUUUCAUUUUAGGUCAUGUCAUAUUUACAAUUGGAGUCAUCAUAUAUGCUGGAUUAAAAUAAAAUUAAUUAAACCUGUGUUCUUCGUGUUGUAAGACCCCGUGAUAGUUAUGAUAGUUUUGACUAGACCCAUGUUUAUCACUUUAACAAAGUUUUAUUAUAUUACUCGCAUACAUUUCAUUCAAUGAAGGACACCCCUAAAACCAACGAUCCGUAUGGAGCGCCAAAUUAACAUAAACUCAAAUAAUUGAAGAUAUCUUCAAUUAUUUGAAGAUAUCAUCAAUUCAUUUGAUGCGUGCAACAAUUUAAUUAAAAAUCUCUUCAAAUAAUUAUUGAUAUCUUGAAUUCUGAAUUAUUGCGUGCAUUAAUUGAAUUGGUGAUAGCAUUUUAAAAUUGCUUCAGCUGAAUUGAUACGCGCUUGAAUUGAAUUAAUGAUCUCUUCAAAUGAAUUAAUGAAAUCACAAUUGAAUUGAUGCACGCUACAAUUCAAUUGAAGAGAGCAAUAAUUGAUAUAAUGCGCGCAUUAAAUCAAUUGAUGAGAGCAAUAAUUAAUUAAUGCGCGCAAUAAUUAAUUUGAUGAGGGCAAUAAAUAAUUUAAUGCGCGCAUUAAUUCAAUUAUUGCUCUCUUCAAUUGAAUUAAUGAAAUCUUUAUUUCAUUUGAAGAGAGCAAUAAUUCUUUUAGAGAGAGAGAGAACACCUAUAUAAUUAAAGAUAUCUUCAAUUCAACAUAUCCACAAUUGAAUUAAUGAUCUCUUUAAUUGAAUUGUUGCUCUCUUUAAAGGAAUUCAUGCACGCAUUAAUUCCGUAUACAAAAGCAUUGUAAAUAAUUAAAGAUAUCUUCAUAUGAAUUAAAGAGAUCAUCAAAUUAUUUAUACCGAGCUCUAAAUUAAUUAUUGCGAGCUAUAUUUCUACGAAAUUGAUGCUAUCAUCAAUUGAAUUAAAGAGAGCAAUAAUUGAAUUAAUGCGCACAUCAAAUCUAUUAUUGCUCUCAUUAAUUCAAUUGAUGCUCUCAUCAAUUGAAUUAAAGAGAGCAAUAAUUGAAUUAAUGCGCACAUUAAAUCUAUUAUUGCUCUCAUUAAUUCAAUUGAUGCUCUCAUCAAUUGAAUUGAAGAGAGCAAUAAUUGAAUUAAUGCGCGCAUUAAAUCAUUUAUUGCUCUCAUUAAUUCAAUUGAUGCGCGCAUUAAUUCAAUUGAUGAGAGCAAUAAUUGAAUUGAAGCACGCAUUAAUUCAAUUAAAGAGAACAAUAAUUGAAUUGAUGAUAUCCUCAAAUAAUUGAAGAUAUCUUCAAUUUUUUGAGUUUAUGUUAAUUUGGCGCUCCAUAGAUCUGACACAUUGAUAAAUUUUUAAUUACAGUAUUCAUCUAAUAUUUUUGAUGUUUUUAAUUUUUUCCGUGAUUAUAGAAGUCACUGUUAUGACUUUUUCUAAUAAUUUAUUAACAGUUACCGAUAUGUACAAACACAUGAAUAAACAUAAAAAAGUUUUUAUUUUGCAAGAACAUGUUUUUGAUUAUACAGAUCUUGAAAGUAAGUAAUAUGUCGAAAACUGUCCAAUAUGUCAGAUAUCGAAUGGACCGGGACUGAUCUGGGAAGUUAGAGGCAUAUAACUUUAAAGUUAGAAUAUUUUAUCGAAAUUAGGUUGUACAUUACUUUCCAAUGUCCUAGAAGUCUUUCAUUAUGUAUAACUAAUAAGGAUUAGACAGCAGGCAACGCAUAUAUAAGCCUUCUCCUUUAAGGUAUAAGGUAAAAUCCACAUAAUGAUGUACAUUAGAAAUUACAAUAUUCAUGAUCAUUAAUGUUACAUAAGGAACAUUUGAUUUGGAGCUUCAAAUGACUUCCUAAUAAUCGCGUUUUAUUUACUGUAUAUGGUAGCAAUGAAUAUAACAUAACUAAUACAUGUACAUGCAAUUAUUCAAAAUUUAUUCUUAAAAUCUUUUGAAUGAAAGAUAUCGAUCAUCCAAUUCAUGUGCUCAACAAUUCCAACACGCAUUUGAAAAGUCCUUCCUCUAUGCAAUAAUACAUUUAUUCAAUUGUGAUUAUAUAUAAAUAAUCAGAUGCUGAAAUUUUAUAAAAGUCAAUUAAAUUCUAGUAUAUGUAUGCAUACAUACAUUAAAAAUUUAUUACACGAGUUCUUAAAUAUUCUUGGAAGUUAUAUUUAUAACUUUAGUCUGUGACAUGCACUAUAGAGUAUCCCAGACACCAUAUUACAGGAUUUGAAGAUAGAUCCUUAAUGUAAACUGAUGAAUUCAUUUAGGAAUCUCAAAGUGAAUCUCUGAAAAAAAAAAUCAUAAUGAUUAUUAGCUAUCUCAAUUUUAUUUUUCAGUAUAAAAUACAAAUACUGAUGAAAGACUUUACAUGAUCUAAUGUAUGUAACAUUAACACAACAUGACUAAUUUGGACCCGUUCUAGAGUCAAAACCAUAGCCUUGCGAAAUUCACAAUUUUGGUACAUCUUUUUCUGCUUUUCCUAAACAUGCAAUGACUUUUUAUACCGUAUCAGCAAACUUAAAGAAGUCUUUCAAAUGAUAAGGAUAAUAAUCACACCGGAACCAAAAUCCCUACCCCUGAUAUUAUGAAAUUCAAUCUUGGUAAAUGACUGCCUAUUCCAUCUAAAUAUGUGUUUUAAGAUUCAAUUUAAUAUCAAUAGCAUUAAAGAAAAUAAAUUCUUAACGUUUUACAUGGUAUGUCCUUUAAAAGGGAAUGCAUACUCCUCCUAGGCACCUGAUCCCACCUCUGGUAUAUCUAGGGGUCUGUGUUUGCCCAACUCUCUAUUUUGUAUUGCUUAUAGGAGUUAUGAGAUUGAUCACUGUUCGUUAUCUUCAACUUUUAUACACCAUAUAUACCAAGUUUGGGCCCACCCUAGGGUCACAAACUCUUAGUCUCUUAAUAACCCGGGGAUCAUGAAAAAACUACGCACGCUAACUCUGGAUUCCAGCCUUCAUUUUCAACUCGUAUAUUUUAAAAAAGCUUUGCAAUUUUGCUAAUGACAUAUUUUUGAAUGCAAAGUAGAAUCCAUUAGUAAUUGAUUAUUACCUUUAAUAUCAAUGUCAAUUAAUUGCUUUUAAAUUCAACUCCUUUUGAGUAGGUGGUAGAAAAAUCUUUUCUCUGAAAUAAGGUUUUAAAGCGUCAUAUUUUGAAAUUUUUAUUGAUAAUAAUAAAUAACCAUUUAAUUAGUCAAAUUACUUUAUAUUAUUGAGUAAACCAUGGCUACUCCUCGUUUCUUACACUUAUCCUCAAUUGCAAUUGAUCAUAGUGUGAACAAGUUCGCUGUGUUUUGGUCUAUAAACGUAUGUUCCCCCGUGAAACAACAAACGUUUUGGUAUAAAUUUGGUAAAUGACAAUUUACGAUACCUGUAAAAGAAUUUGUGUUCAACGGGUGGGGAAGGGAUGUUUUAAAAAUAUUUUCCGUUUUCCAUUGAUUCCUAUAGGGAAAUACGCGAUUUUAACCCAAAUUUUUGAGUUAUUUCUCUUUGUUUUGUCAAAGAAAUCAACUUUCAUGAAAAUUCAUAAACAUAUCUAUACUCACAUAAAAAUCAUUUAAAAAUGAUAACUUUUAAAAAUUGAUCAGAAGGUAGGCGUCGAAACAGUACUAUCGUUCGCAGUUCUUUACAAUUUGGGAAGAGGCUUUCUUGUUCUACAUCAUUAAUAUGCAUUUAGUUCGGCAUGGAUUUUAAUAUUUAUUGUUCAACUAUCGUAAGUUAAUAUUUUGCUACUGUUUCAAUUUUCUUUCAAUAACUAAUUGUAAAUAAAUCUUUUUAAUUGUUUGCAAAUUCUGCUGCUUUAAGGGUUACUUCUGACCCAUACCAAUAUACCUCAAACAGCAGGAAACUGACUACAGUAUUUUCUACAUAAAAAUUGUAAAUUGUAUGUAAUAUUUCAGUGUUUGAUAAGUUUAAAACAAUCACUAUGCAACAUUAAAAUUUAGAUAUGACACUUUGAAACGGAGAAAUGGCCUCUAAAUAUGUUUAUUUACGAUAAUCAGAGUUUUUUUCAAAGUUGGGCACGCAUCCAAAUCAAAGGACCAUAACUCUUUCUUAUCAUUUCUUAUUUAAGCUUUAUUAGCAGAUAUCGUUAAAAAAUAAUGCAUUGAAACGUAGAUCCAUAUAUUGCAAAAAGAAAUAAAGCACAUUAUACCAUAAUUUCUAAUUAAUACUUACACUAACACUGGAAUUCCUCAAAGCACAUCCAUUUCCGGUAGAAAUUUGGUUGGGCUUCAGGCAGCUCGCCUUAAAGUCUCAGGAGCAGCGAGAUUAGGUUUCACUCGAUACUCCCUGAUUUUAUGCUCUAUUUAACACCGAUGAAGGAUAGGUUCCGAACACGUUAGUAGGGGUGUUUUUCUGGGACAGAUACUAUAAUUGUCAAUAUUCAAAACGUCUGCCAUAUAUAUGUCAGAAGACUUUCAACAUUAUGUUUUAGCAUUCAGUAUUUUUAUUUUUUGAAAUUUUUUGUUUUUAACGUAUCAAUCAUAGUUUUAAAAGAUUUAACGUACAUGUACAUUGAUAUUGUUCUGUAUCAAUUGAUUGCCAAUUAGCAUAUUCCUAUCUACGUUUACAGUCCAGUUAAUUUUGCAGUGUGUAAUAUGACGUAAGCAAAAUUAAAACCAGGUCAUGACCGAUUACUACUGUAAUAAGCGUAGUCAGAGAAUUAAUAGCAAUUUUUUUCUAAUGUACAACGGACCAAUGUUAAAGAAAUAAAGAUCGCGUUUUCGUGUACGUUGCAAAAUAAUCUCCGAUGUCGAGAAAUGCUGUUUUGAAAUAUAAAAGCCGAGGCUUUCGCCUAACAACAUUUAUAUAUUUUUAAAUUAAAUUGAUAUAGGAUAAAUAGAAUAUCAUAUGCUAAACGCGCUAAUAUGAUAUAUUCUAUGGAUUUUAGUAUGUAAUAAUCUCUUUUGAAAGUUAAAGAUAAAUCUUUACCUACCUAUAUAUAGUCUUACGCUGAAUACUCCAUAUAUUAGACCAGGAUUGUUUUACCUUCUUUCUGAUGUGUUCACUUGUUACUGCGAGCUACUUACAAUAUUGGAUGUUGAUU